CUCAGCUCACUGCAACCUCCGCCUCCCGGGUUCAAGCAAAUCUCCUGUCUCAGCCUACUGAGUAGCUGGGAUUAGAGGCACCCACCACCAAGCCUGGCUAAUUUUUGUAUUUUUAGUAGAGAUGGGGUUUCACCAUGUUGGCCAGGCUGGUCUUGAACUCCUGAUGUCAGGUGAUGCACUCACCUUGGCCUCUCAGAGUGCUAGAAUUACAGGAGCGAGCCACUGCGCCCGGCUAAUUUUUUGUAUUUCUUUUAGUAGAGACAGGGUUUCACCAUGUUGGGCAGGCUGGUCUUCAACUUCUGACCUCAGGUCAUCUGCCCACCUUCGCCUCCCAGAGUGCUGGGAUUAUAGGCGUGAGCCAGCGUGCCUCGCCUUAUUGUGAUCUUGAUUUGAAUUAGUGUUUAGCAUUUGGGGUAAACUUUUUUUUUUGAGAUAGAGUUUCACUCUGUUGCCCAUGCUGGAGUGUAGUGGCGUGAUCUCAGCUCACGGCAACCUCCACCUCCCAGGUUCAAGCGAUUCUCCUGCCUAAGCCUCCGGAGUAGCUGGGACUACAUGCGAA
rnacentral:lncRNA from 1 species